rnacentral:sRNA from 1 species
GCAGCAGUUCUGGAGAGCAGAUACUCUACCUAGGUACAGCACAAGUGAGUGAGAGCCAGCUUCCCAUACACUCUCCUGCCAAGAAAUCUUCAUGCUGAUCUGUGGAAAGAAACCCCUAGGCAAGACAGAACAGUUUGGUCACCACAGUCCAUUCAGUCUUAGGUUUU